rnacentral:misc_RNA from 1 species
AAAUGCGAUAAGUAAUGUGAAUUGCAGAAUUCAGUGAAUCAUCGAAUCUUUGAACGCACCUUGCGCUCCUUGGUAUUCCUUGGAGCAUGCCUGUUUGAGUAUCAUGAAAUCUUCAAAGUAAAUCUUUUGUUAACUCAAUUGGUUUCUACUUUGGUAUUGGAGGUCUUUGCAGCUUCACACCUGCUCCUCUUUGUUCAUUAGCUGGAUCUCAGUGUUAUGCUUGGUUCCACUCUGCGUGAUAAGUUAUCUAUCGCUGAGGACACUGUAAAAGGUGGCCAAGGUAAAUGCAGAUGAACCGCUUCUAAUAGUCCAUUGACUUGGACAAUACUUUUAUGAUCUGAUCUCAAAUCAGGUAGGACUACCCGCUGAACUUAAGC